UCCAAGAAGUUAGUCCAGGUACGGCACUAGCUUUUUAAUAGGAAAGGGUGUCCUACUACCUUGACAUUAUCUCUUUUCCAGACAAAUAACUUUUCUCUCGAACAAGUCAGAUGUUAGACUGGCGUUGGUCUAUGCGUCUUCUUUUCUAGACAAAUAACCUUUCUCUCGAACAGGUUAGAUGUUAGAAUGGCGUGUUCUUGUGUUUGAACCGCAAAGAAUGUAGAUUUAAGAUGAAGAGAAUAAUGAUAUAAGCAAUAUACUUGUCUUGAACUCACAAACUCAUAGCUAUAGAUAGUAACUCAUUCGGCUUCCAUAACCCCAACUAAGAGAUUUAGUUACCCAUGAAUGCGAAGGAUAUCACGUUUUGCAUGGUGGAUGGCGUGAAUAGUAGGUGUUUGGCGUGUGGUUUUAGUGAUUCCGUAGCAAGUAACGAUUCUCUUGUUGUGGAAUUUAAGAGUAGAAGAAUGAAGACUUGAGAAUGGGUUGUAGGAAGAUGUCUUAAUUGUAAGGAGAUGAAUGAAUUGUCAGAAUGUCUCCCCU
rnacentral:lncRNA from 1 species